UACAGAGGGGGCGAGCGUUGUUCGGAAUUACUGGGCGUAAAGGGCGCGUAGGCGGCCAACUAAGUCAGACGUGAAAUCCCUCGGCUCAACCGGGGAACUGCGUCUGAUACUGGAUGGCUUGAAUUCGGGAGAGGGAUGCGGAAUUCCAGGUGUAGCGGUGAAAUGCGUAGAUAUCGAGAGGAACACCUGCGGCGAAGGCGGGUUGCUGGGCUGACACUGACGCUGAUGCGCGAAAGCCAGGGAGCGAACGGG
rnacentral:rRNA from 1 species